rnacentral:lncRNA from 1 species
AUAAGACGUCUUACCUUUGACCUUAGUCAAUUCAUAUUAGAGCAGAAAAAGUAAUAUUUGUUCAUUUAUAUACAUAUUAAUACAGUAUAAAACACACUCUAUAGGUAAUGAGACGAUACAAAUAUCAUUGAUUCAUUGUUAUAUGGUGUUACAGUUCUAGUGAUUACCAAAAAAAAAAAAAAAUUACAAUAGAUCCAAAUCUUAACUAAUAAACUAUAUCAAUUAAAGUAUCUAAAUACCAUGCUUCGGUCUUGUUUCUAAUCUGAGUUUCCGGCCUGCAUUAUAUACUUAACAAAUUUAGUUAUCAAAUUGUUGUUCCUUAAUUGACCUUACUUGUCAUUGAUCAAAC